AUGAAGGCCCGUCACAAACAUAAUCAGAAUGAUGCCUCGAUCCCGCCACUGUCGAUCGAACAAAAUGAUGUCCCCUCACCACAUGAACAGGUUGAUGUCCCAGCCCCGCCAUCACCACCUGGACAGAAUGAUGCCUCCACACAUGAACCUAAUUCUGCCAAUAAUACAAGGAAUUUAUUUCAAGUUGAAGAAGAGAUCAAUUGGGAAGAAGAAAUUAAAUUUGAUCCAGGUAAACGGAGAAGUAUAGAUGAGUAUCAUCCGAAUCUGAGAGAUAUGGUAAGAAGGAAGUAUUUGGCCAAUGGACCUUGUCAGCCUCGUACUGGUGAUUUUAAAGUAACAGAAAUAUGUGGUAGAGAUAGAAGGUUCGUUCGGGAAUGGCUUGAUGAGUUUGAGAGCUGGCUUGAGUAUAGCGAGUCCGAACACAAAGCAUAUUGUUUUUGUUGUUUCUUGUUUAGACCACGCAAGAAGAAAGAAUCUGGAUAUGAUGCAUUUGUUGCAAAUGGUUGGUCAAGUUGGAAUAAAAAAUAUAGAUUAAAGGAGCAUGUAGGAGACAUCAAUAGUGCUCACAACCAAGCAAAAAGAGAUUGUGAUGCUUUGCAGAAACAAAAGGAACACAUUUAUGUUGCUCUAAAUAACCAAAGUAAUGCUGAGAGGAUUGCUUAUUAUACUCGACUAAAUGCCUCAAUUGAUGUUGCUAGAGUGUUACUGAAGCAAGGGUUGCCUUUCCGUGGCCAUGAUGAGUCCGAGGAGUCUCUCAAUAAAGGCAAUUUCAUGGAAUUUCAUGCUUACACAGCAGAGCAGAAUCCAGCUGUAAGAAAAGUUGGGGCGCAUAAUGCUCCAGGUAAUAAUCAGUUGACUUCUUCGAAGAUUCAGAAGGACAUAGCUGAAUGUUUUGCAAAGGAAAUAUUACAUUCGGUUCUUCAGGAAAUUGGGAAUGAUGUAUUUUCUUUGUUGGUUGAUGAGUCGAGGGAUGUGGCUGGUAAAGAGCAAAUGCCAGUGGUAUUGGGGUAUGUUGGUAAAUGUGGAAGUGCCAUAGAGACAUUAGUUGGCCUUACUCAUGUGAAGGAGACAACCUCCAAGUAUCUCAAGUCUGCCAUUGAUGACUUAUUUGCAGAAUAUAAAUUAAGUUUCAAGCAAGUUAGAGGUCAAGGAUAUGACGGUGCAAGCAAUAUGAGAGAUCAUCAAAAAGAAAAGACAUGA
rnacentral:rRNA from 1 species